rnacentral:rRNA from 1 species
AUUGAACGCUGGCGGCACGCCUAACACAUGCAAGUCGAGCGGCAGCAUGCUUAGUAGCAAUACUAAGUGAUGGCGAGCGGCAGACGGGUGAGGAACACGUAGGAACCUGCCCAAGAGAGGGGGAUAACUAAGGGAAACUUUAGCUAAUACCGCAUAAUCUCUGAGGAGAAAAGUUGCCCGUAAGGGUAGCGCUUUUGGAGGGGCCUGCGUCUGAUUAGCUAGUUGGUGAGGUAAUAGCUCACCAAGGCGAUGAUCGGUAACUGGUCUGAGAGGACGACCAGUCACACUGGGACUGAGACACGGCCCAGACUCCUACGGGAGGCAGCAGUGGGGAAUCUUGGACAAUGGGGGCAACCCUGAUCCAGCGAUGCCGCGUGGGUGAAGAAGGCCUUCGGGUUGUAAAGCCCUUUAGGCGGGGAAGAAGAAUAUGGGAUGAAUAAUCCUGUAUUUUGACGGUACCCGCAGAAUAAGCACCGGCAAACUCUGUGCCAGCCGCCGCGGUAA